ACGGGUGGAGUAACACGUGGACAAUCUGGCCCCCCGGCCCCGGGACUAGCCCAGGGAAACCGUGGAUUAAUACCGGAUGAGACGGGACCCGCGAUGGCGGGACCCGGGAAACGGCGCUGCGGCGCCGCCGGGGGAUGAGUCUGCGUCCCAUUAGCUAGACGGCGGGGUAACGGCCCACCGUGGCGACGAUGGGUAGCCGGCCUGAGAGGGUGGACGGCCACAUUGGAACUGAGACACGGUCCAGACUCCUACGGGAGGCAGCAGCUAAGAAUCUUCCGCAAUGGGCGAAAGCCUGACGGAGCGAACCGCCGCGUGAACGGAGAAGGCCGUGAGGUUGUAAAGUUCUUUUCGGGAGGGGGAACAACCGUGGCAGGGAAUGGCCGCGGGAUGACGUGAAUCCCGGAAUAAGCCCCCGGCUAACUACGUGCCAGCAGCUGC
rnacentral:rRNA from 1 species